rnacentral:rRNA from 1 species
AUUGAACGCUGGCGGCAUGCCUUACACAUGCAAGUCGAGCGGCAGCACGGGUGCUUGCACCUGGUGGCGAGUGGCGAACGGGUGAGUAAUACAUCGGAACAUGUCCUGUAGUGGGGGAUAGCCCGGCGAAAGCCGGAUUAAUACCGCAUACGAUCUACGGAUGAAAGCGGGGGACCUUCGGGCCUCGCGCUAUAGGGUUGGCCGAUGGCUGAUUAGCUAGUUGGUGGGGUAAAGGCCUACCAAGGCGACGAUCAGUAGCUGGUCUGAGAGGACGACCAGCCACAAUGGGACUGAGACACGGCCCAGACUCCUACGGGAGGGAGGAGUGGGGAAUUUUGGACAAUGGGCGAAAGCCUGAUCCAGCAAUGCCGCGUGUGGGAAGAAGGCCUUCGGGUUGUAAAGCACUUUUGUCCGGAAAGAAAUCCUUGGCCCUAAUACGGUCGGGGGAUGACGGUACCGGAAGAAUAAGCACCGGCUAACUACGUG